rnacentral:rRNA from 1 species
UACGUAGGGGGCAAGCGUUGUCCGGAUUUAUUGGGCGUAAAGAGCGUGUAGGCGGCCUGACAGGUCUGCUGUGAAAACUCGAGGCUCAACCUCGAGAUGUCGGCGGAAACCGUCUGGCUAGAGUCCGGAAGAGGAGAGUGGAAUUCCUGGUGUAGCGGUGGAAUGCGCAGAUAUCAGGAGGAACACCAAUAGCGAAGGCAGCUCGCUGGGACGUUACUGACACUGAGGCGCGAAAGCGUGGGGAGCGAACAGG